rnacentral:rRNA from 1 species
AGAGCGAACGCUGGCGGCAGGCUUAACACAUGCAAGUCGAGCGGGCGUAGCAAUACGUCAGCGGCAGACGGGUGAGUAACGCGUGGGAACGUACCUUUUGGUUCGGAACAACACAGGGAAACUUGUGCUAAUACCGGAUAAGCCCUUACGGGGAAAGAUUUAUCGCCAAAAGAUCGGCCCGCGUCUGAUUAGCUAGUUGGUGAGGUAACGGCUCACCAAGGCGACGAUCAGUAGCUGGUCUGAGAGGAUGAUCAGCCACAUUGGGACUGAGACACGGCCCAAACUCCUACGGGAGGCAGCAGUGGGGAAUAUUGGACAAUGGGCGCAAGCCUGAUCCAGCCAUGCCGCGUGAGUGAUGAAGGCCCUAGGGUUGUAAAGCUCUUUUGUGCGGGAAGAUAAUGACGGUACCGCAAGAAUAAGCCCGGCUAACUUCGUGCCAGCACGCCGC